AACGCGAAGAACCUUACCUGGCCUUGACAUCCAGAGAACUUAGCAGAGAUGCUUUGGUGCCUUCGGGAACUCUGAGACAGGUGCUGCAUGGCUGUCGUCAGCUCGUGUUGUGAAAUGUUGGGUUAAGUCCCGCAACGAGCGCAACCCUUAUCCUUUGUUGCCAGCGGUUCGGUCGGGAACUCAAAGGAGACUGCCGGUGAUAAACCGGAGGAAGGUGGGGAUGACGUCAAGUCAUCAUGGCCCUUACGGCCAGGGCUACACACGUGCUACAAUGGCGCAUACAAAGAGAAGCGACCUCGCGAGAGCAAGCGGACCUCAUAAAGUGCGUCGUAGUCCGGAUUGGAGUCUGCAACUCGACUCCAUGAAGUCGGAAUCGCUAGUAAUCGUAGAUCAGAAUGCUACGGUGAAUACGUUCCC
rnacentral:rRNA from 1 species